AGAGAAAACACAUUUCCGUGUUUUCCUCACCCACUCUCCUACCCCAUCUCACAUCACUCUCUCACGUUAUCUUCUUCCCCGCUUAUUCUUCUUUUCUUCCUCUUCCUUGGUCGUUCAUUUUCUUCUAUCAUUGCUUCCUCUCCCUCGCUCGCUAUUCUCCAAUAGAAACUCCAGAUAAUCCGCUCCUGUAAGUCCCCUAACUUGAUGCCAAUGGAAAAAUGAUCAAGAAACAGGUAAUAAUUUGAAUCAACCACAAAAGCUCAAGGAAGCAUAGAAACACUCGGACCCAGAAGAGCUCUAGAAAGUUUCUACCCAUCAUCCAAUCUGCUAUCCACUACUCGCAGCCUGCAAGCAUAACUUGAGGGACAAGUAAAGACAACAUCAACUCGAGGAAGGACUUGAAAGAUAUAUGCAAGAGAAAAUAGUUGGAGUUGACACGUGAUGGUCACGCACCUGUGCCGAUAUUCAGACUCACAAGACCAGGUAAAACGGUCUUGUUUAAAUGGUUAAAAGAAGAGGUUAAAUUCCCUGAUGGAUAUGCAUCCAAAUUGGCGCGAUGUGUUGAUACUAAUUCAUUAAAGCUUAUGGGAAUGAAGAGUCAUGAUUGCCAUAUAUUCAUGCAAAGACUCAUUCCUAUUGCAUUUGCGGAGCUAUUGAAACCCAAUGUCGACGGAGCAUUAUGCGGUAUCAGCACAUUCUUUCGAGAUAUAUGUGCAAGAUCUCUGAGAAGAAGUAACCUAGAGGUUUUGAAAGGCAACAUUCCUGAGAUACUUUGCGCAUUGGAAAAGGUAUUUCCACCUUCAUUUUUUGAUGUGAUGGAACAUUUACCUAUUCAUUUACCAGAUGAAGCGAUAUACGGUGGUCCAGUACAGUUUAGAUGGAUGUAUCCAUUUGAGCGAUUUUUUUUCCAUCUGAAGAAGAAGGCAAAAAACAAAGCAGCAGUGG